rnacentral:rRNA from 1 species
UACGUAGGGGGCAAGCGUUGUCCGGAAUCAUUGGGCGUAAAGCGCGCGUAGGCGGCCCGGCAAGUCCGUUGUAAAAGUCAAAGGCUCAACCUUUGAAAGCCGAUGGAUACUGCCGGGCUAGAAUCCGGAAGAGGCGAGUGGAAUUCCUGGUGUAGCGGUGGAAUGCGCAGAUAUCAGGAGGAACACCAAUAGCGAAGGCAGCUCGCUGGGACGGUAUUGACGCUAAGGCGCGAAAGCGUGGGGAGCAAACAGG